UCCCCUUUUCUAUGCUGAUGCUGAAACCUGUCUAGAGAGCAGGUUGCAAAGCACCACACUUUCAUUUUUUAAGCAGAAAAAGAAAUGAAAAAACCUGUUGUUGUUCAGGAAGCACCGCAGGACAUCAGUUCAACUUCAGGGGAGUUUGAGAUGUGUGGUAUACAGAUUCUCACCUGUGCAGGAGGGAGGAGGAGGCUAACAGCAGAUUGUCUCCACUUUGCAAAUGUCUUUUAAAGCUUUCCUCUGUUCACAUCGAAUGUUUACGUGUGGUUUUUGCUUUGUUUUUUAAAUGGAUAUUCCGAUACGUGUCAAGCAGAUUGGCGUCGCUGGAAGUUUGGGAAUGGGAGCGAAUCCGUUUUCCAGCGGACUUGGGAGAUGUCAAUGAGCGGGGGCCUGUGUCCCUGGAAAAAAUACAACUCUGGAAGGGAAGAGCACUGCUCAUCUCUUUCCCUGCCCACCUGGGAAUGCUCCUUGUCCUGUUUUGUUUCUUUUACUCUGCUGUCUAGACCGAUUUUUCAUUUACAAAGGUUCACAAAACCAAAAAUCAGUUGGUGUUUUAAGCUGCUUUUUUCCCACCUUUUCAGGAAGCAGUUACUCAUCUUUGGUCUUGCCUGGUAUUGAAGGCUGGAGAAACAGAUUCUUAUUGUACUUUCUCAGGCCAUUGCUUGUGAUGUAAAUGCAGGCUUAUUACUUGUUAACAGUUGCAAAGAGCAUGUUCAUCUAACACAGGAGGUACAUAGUCCCACUAGGGACCUCUUACUGGACUUGGUGCUGGCGACAGGGGAUGACCUGGUAGGGAAUUGACUGACUCGAGGUAACCUAGGGGACAGUGACCAUCCAUUGAUUGGAUUCACUAUCUGGCACAGGGUGGGAAAAAUAACCAGUAGGGUAGGAGUGCUAGACUUCAGUGUGGUCAGGAGAUUAGUUAGCGAGGCGCUGAAGGACAAGAGCACUGGUAAGAUGGGAGUCCAGGAAUGGGAGUUGUUCCUAAAGGGAGCAAUCCUACAGGUGUAGGAGAAGAUGAUCCCGUUGCACAGGAGAGGGGAAAGAGGGGCCAAGAAACCCUCUUGGCUGAACAGCAAAAUGCAGGAAAACCUAGGGGCAAAAAAGAGGCAUAUAGACAGUGGAAGCAUGUGAGAUUUACCAAGGUGGAGUAUACCUACUUGGCCUGCACUUGCAGGGAGGCAGUUAGAAAGGGUGAAGCAGAAAUGGAGCUUGGGCUGGCAACAAAAAUUAAAAACAAGUAAAGUCUUUCUUUAGGUGUAUAAGGAGUAAAAAGAAGGUGCCAUGGUAGCAUAGGAACCCUACAGGACAAACUAGGGUAAAUAGUGAUAGGUGGGGUGAGCGGGGCAAGGUUGAGCUCUUCAGUGAGUUUUUUGCUUCUGUAUUCCUGAACAUGGAACAGGACAAGUCUCCCAGUUGGAUGCUAGACAGGCAUAAAAGGGACACCAGCCCACCAAGUGUUUGUGCCAACUUGGUGAAGAGGCACUUGGAAAGACUGGGUGUGUUUAAGUCAGCAGACCCACGUGAUCUUCAUCCAAGGGUGCCAAAGGAUUUGGCAGCAUUAUAGGAGAGCCCCGACACAGCUGUUUGAGCACUCGUGGCACUCGGGUCAGGUCCCAGAGGGCUGGAAAAGGGCCAGUGCGGUCCCUACCUUUAAGAAAGGAAAGGAGGAUCCGGGUAACUAGACACCAGUUAGUCUCACUUCUAUUCUGAGGAAAACCUUUGAAAACAUUAAGGAUCACAUUUGUGGGAGUCCUGGAAGGUGGGGGGAUGCUGAAGGGCAGUGAGCACUUAUUCAUAGCAGGUAGAUCCUGCCUGACUAACCUUGUUUCUUUUUAUGACCAGGUCACAAAAUGCUUACACACAGGAAUUGAGGUAGAUGUCAUCUACUUGCAUUUUAAGAAGGCCUUCAAUAUGGUAUCUCAUUCUAAUGUCAUUAAUAAACUGAGCCGCUGUCACGUAGAUGAUUACACGAUCAGGUGGGUGGCAAAAUGGCUCAGCGUCAUACCCAGAGAAUAGCGGUGGAUGGGUCGGUAUCGACCUGGAAAGAUGUGGGCAGUGGAGUCUGACAAGGCUCGGUCCUUGGACCUGUGCUGUUUAAUGUCUUCGUGAGUCACUUGGAUGAGGGCGUGGAAAGCACUCUGUCCAAAUAUGCAGAUGAUACCAAAUUUAUGGGUAACGUUAACAUGCUAAAGCAGAGGUCCUCAAACUGUGGUCUCUGGACCAGCGCUGGUCCACAAGCUCCAUGUAGGUGGUCCUCAGAAAGGUUGCAGAACAAUUGAGAAUCUCUGCAUUUGGCCCUGCAGUUGAUUACUUUUUUUUCCGGUGACGGAGAUUAAGCGGUCCGCUGAGACCCUCGGCAAUUUUCAAGCGGUCCGUGCAAAACAAAGUUUGAGAGCCGGUGCGCUAGAGGGUUGGGACCAAAUCUGUGGGCACCUGGGCAGGUUGGAAAAAUGGGCAGACCAGAACAGGAUGCAGUUGAACAAAGACAAGUGCAAAGUGCUGCACCUAGGGAGAAGGAAUCACCGGCACGCUUACAGGCUGCGGGAGGGCUUUCUCAGCAUCAGAGCAGCGGAAAGGGAUCUCGGAGUCAGCGUCGAUACCGAGAUGAGCGUGAGUUGUCAACGUGACAAAGCGAUUGGUAAAGCUAACUGCACUUUAUCAUGUGUUCGCAGGUGCAGGACAAACAGGUCCAGGGAGGUGAUGCUUACCCUCUACGCGACAUUGGUCGAGCUGCAGUUGGAGUACUCUGUCCGGUUUUGGACGCCACACUUCAAGAGGGAUGUGGACAACCUUGUGAGGGUUCAGAGGAGGGCAAAAGCUAGUCCUUGCGCUCCUGUCGUUGGAACCAGCUUAUCGGCGAGGAAGCGCAGCGUGACAUUCGGAACCAAAAGGCCCGGAGUAGAAGGGCCCCCGACAUCCGUCGCAUCUGCAACGGGUCCCUGCGUGAGCUACUGAGAAACGAGCGUUUGGGGCCCGCACCGGUCUCUCGGAAACAUCCGAGCCAGCCCUGGCAGCAGGUGCCUGCGCGUUCCUGCCUCGUACGCGGUCAGGGAACGCUACGCACCAGCAGUUGCCUCGGCUUCUGACCGGACGCACGCCGUUUGCUCGCAAGCAUCCAAAGCUAGCACCUCCAGCGGCUGCAGCUGUUGCUUCCCAACUACUAGGAGAGCCUUGCAAAAGCAAUGGCCUGCCCCUGGGCCAGGCUGAUACCAGUGGCUCAGACCCAGAGACUUGCUGUUGUACCUCCCGGUGUCUGGAUUAGGUGUCGAGCACUUGGAACUCUGGCAGCUUCAGCACAUAUUAACCUCUCGUCCUCCUGUGGCCAACACCACGGAGCCCGUGACCCUAAUGUUUCUGUCAGCCUCUGUCCCACCCUUCCCCUGAAGGCCUCCCGUGAAAUCCCUUGUCCCAUCACAGUCUGCAGGUUGGCUCCAGCGGUAUUUCCCAGCUGCACGUGGAGAGUUGCAAGGGAGCCACUGCCUCCUGUGUAUGUGGGAAGGUGAUGUAAGGGGGUGCACAGUUACCCUUAAGAAGGAGCAAUUUUUCUAUGGAGUUAAGCUGAAACUGCUGUACAGAGCGUCUUGCAAAGUGCCUUCGGGUCUGCAGCGGUAGAAGGUAUAUGGGGUAAGGCACAGAGCUGAGGGAAUUGCACUGUGUUGCCCUCUGUGAGCUUCCUGGGAAACACUUGGGGCGGGGGGGUGGGGGUGCGGUUCCUGUAGGUGCCUGGGCAGUGCAACCAUUUUUCUUCCAUGCCCAUGGGGUGUGGGUGCAGGUUUCCCCCUGGGUGACAUGACACUGCCAGUGCAGGCCCAGUCACCUGAGUGUAGAGCCAGGGGGGACUUUAUGGUAUGGUUGGGUUUGAACUACAAAGGAGCAGGGACCAGGAUGCACGGGUGUCAGAGAUGUGUUCCAGACCAGGUGAGGGGUGCAUGCAGGUCCGUGGCAGCGUCCUAGGGCAGGCCAGGGCACUGGGGGGUCCCUGUGCUUCUGGCUAGUGCGGGAGGAGCCUGGUGCUGGGGGUGCUCUGUGCUGCUGCCCACCAGCCCGUGCUUGUGGGAUGCUUUGGUGCCCCUGACUCCCAGCCCGCAGCCUCUGCUUGUCUUGUGUUGCCCUCACUCCUGACCCGCAGCCUUGUCCUCACGGAAAAGAUCAGUCCCAAAUGCGACUCAGGUGGGUGAACAGGUGAUCCAGGGCUGCGUUUGGUGGGGGAGUGGGGGCAAUGUGUCCCCUAAGUCCACGGUGGCAUGCGGUUGUGUCCCUCACUGGUGCUGUGUGGGCUGGGGCUGUGGUCCCACUGUUCCUGAAAGCAACGGGUUGCACCUGCUGGGCUGCAGAGGCCCCGGGGCAAGGGCAGCAGGGAGGGAGCCUGAGUCUGCAGUGGGCAGCCUGCCCCUGCCCUGCACACAGGAUUGUGGGCACGGGUUCCCGCUGCCCCUCGGGAAUGCGCACAGCUGUGAGGAACCCCUCACCCAGCCUGAGCCCGCAGCAGGCAGGCAGUGGGUGGGGGGAGCUGGGCUUUGGUCUGCUGCAGCAGCCGCUGUCUCCUGCCGGGCAGGGUGCCGUGGACACGGGUCCCUGGCCCCAUAGUGCUGGCAGCUGGGGGCCCUCUCUGGUAGAGCUGGGGGCCAGGAGGUUGGGCGGAGUGGGGAGUUGAGGGGCUUUUCAUUUUAAUCAGACAUUUUGGUGUUUUUAUUUGAGAAUUAGUGGGGUUAUCUAUCAGAGAUUUUGCCUUUUUUUUUUAUCAGGGAAAAGCAGGAUGCCUCGUCAUUAGAGCAGCACGUGGGAGCCAGGGCCUGCAGCGUUAUCAGGCGUGGGGUGGACACGCGGUUCCCGGUGUCAGUCAGAGCCCGGUGGGCGGCGGGCACGCUCCGCAGCAGCACCCGGGCUCCGGCGCUGCCGUGCGCUCUGGACACGAGGGGCAGCUCUGAGCCGGCACGUGUGGGGCCGUCUGCAAGGCUGGCUCGGGGCAGAGCAGACCGGGGUGCUGUGCGCGACCCUCGGGGCUGUCAGGCAGCCGCUUGCCCAGCGGAGGCAUCAGCGCUGCAGGCGGGAUCCCCCAUGGCCACGGGCGGGGCAGGGCACGGCGGGGCGGGCGGGUGUUCUGUGCGCGGUGCCGCAGCUCGGCCCCUUCCUCCUCGAGCUGAUGCUGGCGGGACGCUGCUCCGCCCCGCUCCGCUCCGCUUGGCCCUGGGCGCGCUGCUCGCCCCGCGCCCCCCGCACGGAGUCGGAGCCGCCGCUCUCCUGGGGCGCCUGUGUCAGCGAGGAGCUGCAGCGUGAAAGAAGUGGGACUUGGAAAUAUCCAAGGGACCACGGGUAACAGUUUGACGGGCGUCACGUAGACUCGUUUUGCUGAAACUUUGGGAACGGGACCGAACCCAUUUUCCUGUGCGCUUGGACCUGCAGAUGGCUGGGGCCCGUGUCCCUGGGGAAACUCCGAGUCUGGAAGGGAGGAACACUGCUCAUCUCUCUCCCUGCCUGCCUGGGAACGCUCCUUGCCUUGUGUUUGUUAGACUCUGCCAUUUAGACCUAUUUUAACUUGUAACAGGGUCACAAAACCAAAUGCCAGUUGCUGCUCGUAGCUGCCGUUUCCCAUCGUUCCAGAAAGCAGCUACUCGCUCUUGGUCUUGUCUGGUAUUAAAGUCUUGAGAAGCAGAAUUUUAUUCCACUUUUUUUGGCCGUUCCUUGGGAUGUAAGUGUAGGCUCACGGCCUAUUCCUUGUAUGCCAGCUUAAGCACGUGUCGUUCUUAAGUUAGGCUUCUGGUAGGUGUGUAGUCUGCAAUACUGAGCGUGGUCUGUCAGGCCCUGACCAUAUUUUCAGUUUACACCGAGGGGAAUCUGCCCAUAGCCUUCCUUCCCCUUUCUCAUCACCAUCUUCGUAACAUCCCUGCCUCUUUACUUGUCGCUCAUUUCAGGAGCUGUUGUGUGCCAGUGCUUCUGUUCCCUGGUGCUUUCCCCGGGUACCCACCCUGUCUCCUGUACGUGGUGGAGGACCGGUUUAAGGAGUUGCACGGAGGGCCUCACAGAAGUCCUGUGUGGUCACGGGUUUACAAUGAAGACUUGCAGCUGUGUGUUACUAUUUCUGGGGUGUGCCGUGUGUGAGGUGCAGCUGUCAGAGGAACGCUUUGGAGAUGUCGCUCACGCAGGGAAGCAAAAUUGUUCUGCUCCCCACUACUGAGCUUUAAAGGGUGAUACCUGUGAGACAUCACAUCCCCUGUCCAAACCUGAGCCAUCUGAGCAGGGGAAGUGGCAUGGGAGCGGGGGCCAAGAUACCUGGUUGACAGCCCAGACUGCAAGUUGAAGGCUGCAAUGGAAGCGCUCAGAGUGUGGCCUGUCAGAUUCCAACAAAAUCUGUCAAGUCUCACAUGUAGCUUAUCACAAGGAAACGAAAAAGAAAAGGACAUGAGCAGGGGCCCAUGUUAGAGUCUUAGUGCAUUGGUCAGCGAUUGGGGGUGAGGGGGUGCAUGUCCCUCCUUCACUGCUUGUGUGUUGACUGUCAUUGUUAAAGGACCAGGGUUGGGGGCGGGGGCAUUCUUGGCUGCUUGGCCAAGUGCCUGGGGGAAGAGCUAGGAGGAAGGGGGAGGUUCAGCAACCCCGGACUGGCCAGGUCUCCCCCUGCCUCCCACAGGGCUGCGCUACCUGCUACUGGCAGUGACUCUGCCUGGAGCAGUUGGCAGGCCCUUGUAAGCAGCCUGCACUGCUUGGGAGAUGUGGGCUGUGACACCUUGGUUUUCUGGACUGUGGUAAGAAAGCAAACAGCCUUGUAGUACAGGCUUCAGUUGUGGGACUGCACCCUGUUGUUGAGACCCCCCCCCAGGGGCUUAUUUCUUGUAUGUCCAUGCAGGAUAGUUGGAGGGGUGGGGAAUGGAAGGAAGAGGCAUGGAUGAGACCUGCAUCUUCUGUUCAGCAAAUUUCUGUAAGUAAUGUUAGUACUACUAAUAUUAUCCCUGUUCUGAUUCUUACUAUUACUAUUAUUUGUUUUCCCAUAUACUUUGCCAACAAAGCACCUGGCAGGUCCAGUAAGAAAAGGAAGUUUCCAAACAGGUGACAGAAGGAAACCAAAUGAUUUAAGUAUGCAAGUGGUGGUGGUGGUGUUGGGAAGGUUCAGGAACCAUGGGGGAGGCAAGAUUUUUUGUUAUGUCUUUUGUGGCAACAACAGCACGGUUUGGACGGACAGAAGCAAGGUUUUAGGCAUCCCAGUCCCCUUUUUCAGUCCUGGUUCCUUCCCAGCAUCCUGAGGAAAGGUACUGUCAUACCCCAAAGGUUGCCUGUAUCUUACAGUUGGUCUGGUAAAACAGGGGUCAAAAAACCUAUGGCCUGUGGUUUGGAUCCAGCCUGUGAAGAAACUGGUUCUAGCCUGUAGCAGUUCAACCAAGGAGCAGCACACUCCCACGGUGACAGCAGCAGGGACAUCCCCAGCGGCCUGUUGCCACUGCGUUCAGUUUGUUCUUUGUGCUGCAGCAGAAGCAGCCUCCCCAGGGUCCCGGCCCCUGCCUCUUUCUUUUGAGUCCCUUCACAGCCUGUGGAGAUUGCCGGGGAGCAAGCUGUCACGUUGGCAACGGUGCACAACGGCAAAAGAACGGCCCUUCCCUGCAAGGAAAGAUAGCACCUAACUCCGAGCGAGCAGAGCAGAGCAGAGCAUGGACACAGAGCGAGAUGCUCAUCAGUAGGGUAGUCUGGCCUUGCCGUUGCUAGGAGUGCCCAAGUAGGGAGGUGUUGGAAUAAUUUCUCAGCUUUUUCCCUAGAUCGCUCUAAGAGGAGAGGGGAGCGCUAAGCACACUUGGGUUCGUGCACGCUCCCCAUCGUUUUCAGAAGCGGACGGCAGGAGAAAGUUUGCGGUCAGCGAUAGCAGCACAAGGCCGCGCAACCAGGCUCGGGAACGUGGGGCUCUUUCCUAAACCAGGAGUGGCAGGACUUGCACAGCUUUGCCAGGAUCCUGGCUGUUGUGGAGAGACUUUGGGUUGGAGAUGGAUGCAAAGAAGUGGAGGCGUGCCAUGGUGAUGGAGGAUAGAGCAGGAGGAGUAGUGUGAUGGAAGAUGACCAAAGUCUGGUCCUGAGUGGAGAAGAGCUGAGGAAGAGGUGAAGAGCCCUGGAGCUGGUAUGGCGUGGAAGGAGUUGGAGACGGCCUGAAGCCAUGCUCACGUGAUCACCUGGAGCGAGCAGGUGCCUGCAUCGUAUCUGGGAAAGGGAUAGCAAGCAUGAGGACUGAUGGCGCACAAGGACUGAAGGCGCAGCGUGAUGCCAGGUGUGGAGCCAUCUUCUGAAGGCUUGAGGGCUGUGGAGCAGACUCUGUGAAGAUGAAGUGAAGAGUCCCAGAGAUGGUGCAGGAGGAAACGGGCAGCCCUGUUGUGACUUCCUGAUUUGCGUGGUGUGAGGCCUCUUCCCCUGUGGCAUCACCUGGCUGGAGUCUGGGGAGGUUUUGUGUGUAGCUUUGCAGGCGGUGCGUCUCCGCUCCCACUUCUUGCUGUGAGGAUGCCUGGAUAAGCAGCAGCAUGAUUGUGGCUGGGUGGCCUCAAUGUUGUGGGGGAGAGGAACAGAAGCGAGGCUUCUGCGGUGGUGGUAGAAGAUGGAGGAACUGGAUCCCGAAAGGUGGGCUGGGUUAAAGUGGGAGGCUGGGUUGCGUUUUCCCUGGUCGUGUUUGGGUGGGGAAGGAAACGCCUUGUGCGUAAUGGGGUCUGGAGCUCCGUGCUGUCUGGGAAGUGAUGCUGAAGCCGGGACUUGUGGCCCUUAGGGAUGCUGCAGAGCAGGGGGUGUAAGCCUGAAUUGGGUUUAGUUUGGUGGUGAGACCUGACUCCUUGUAAAGGCUGGAAAUUGUCCUUGAGUAUAUUAGGGGUUUCAGUGUUUGCCCCUGGCUUCUGGGUGCAGGUGACAGCAUUGGAUGUGCUGGGACAGAGGAGCGGGUGUGUGCGUGUCCGCCUCUGCCUGGCUGUUGCUGCUGCCACUGGUCUUCCUUCAGUUCUGGGAAUUGCACUCUGUCCUAUGUCUCUGGGUGUGUCACUGGUGUUUCUUUCUACUUUGAUAUCUAAAAUCACAGCAGCACUUCUUCUUUCUUUCUUUGCUCUUCCCAGAGCUGGAAGGAUAGGUGUGUUUGCAACUGAAUUGAUCCCCUCAUUUGGGUGGGCUUUGACUGCACCCUGUGUGCCUCGCGUGCGAGUGGGGGUGUUAUGCUUUCGGUGUCCUAGGCUGCUGGGGGUGGGGGGCGUUGUCUCUGCUGUCAGUACUAUGAGACGUGAAUACUGUUGCGUGUAGUAAUUGCUUGUUGUUUUGGGUGUGAUGUUAAUAUGUCGAGCGUGAGUGGAGAAGAGCUGAGGCGAAGAGACCUAGAGCCAGCGCUAGGUAGAAGCGGGUGGAGGAAGCAGGUGGUUGUGCAGCCAUGCUCGCUUCUGGGUCACCUGGAGGGAGGCCUCUGCCUGUUCGGUGGACCUGUGUGCACGAGCAGAGCCUGCAGAGGUCCCUGCUUCCCCUGUGUGGAGAGGAUGGCAAGGAGGGAGGAGAGCGCGCUGGAGGAAGAGGAGCGCGAUGCCAGGUCCCAUGAGUGCUGUCUCUUGGGGGUCCUGACCUGUGCAGAGGGAAAUGACUGCCGGUUGAAGGAGUGAAGCUGAGCAGCGCCCACGGAGGGUGAAGCAGGAGGAACUCGAUGCCGCACGGCGUGUCGGUGCCGGAUGGGCAGUUCUGGCAAUUGGUUUCUGUUUUUCUCCAGCCCAGUCCUGGGUGUUGGGCAUUGACUAGGUAGGGUAGACGACUGGAGAUCGAUCUGGAUGUUUCUGACAAACAUCUGGAUGUUUCUGACAAACAUCUGGAUGUUUCUGUGGGUGUCAGAGAAAAGGUCCUUCUUGUGGUGGUGUCUCCAGCAUAUGCUGUGGCUGCUGUGCUGUGGUCCCAGCAGAGGCAAGCCUUGGAGAGCUCAGAGGUGUGGACCAGGGGAUGGGAUUGCAUUGUGUAGCUUUGUGCCUUUGCUUCCGUUGUUGGACUCCCUGGCUGUUGAAUGUAUUUCUGUUUGCAGGGUCCUGGUCCUUGGAGAGAAGUUUGAGCAGAGAAGGGUGGAAGAUGGAGGCAGAGAGGAUGGUGCAAGCAGGGGGUCUUUUUACCAAGACUUUUGGGGCAGGGAGGAGAAGUGGAGAUUGGGCAGAAGAAGAGAAGACAUCUUGAAGUCAUGAACCAUGGAGCUGCCUGUCAUUGGUGCAUGGAACAUGUGAUGGGUGCUUGUGCUGUAGCUCUGUCGUGAGGAGCAGGGCAGGGGCAGUGACAUGCUGAGGGCUGGAGAAGGAGCACCACAAAGAUGGCUGUGAGGCCUUGGUCAGGCGUGAAGUAUGAGAGCCAGGAGAGUCGUACAGCACGCACGCAGGAUGGAGGUAGAAAAG